UUUUAGGGGUCUGAAAUUUUUAGGGGUAUUUUCAGGGACUUUUUGACUUUUUAAUAUUUUUAAAUUGAUGAUAAUUUUAAUAUAUCUUUCUUGACCUAGCGACUUAUAACGAUAUAUAAUACGUUAUUCUACAACCACUCUGAGGCAACUGGCGGCAAUUUUCAUCGAAUAAAAAAAAAUGUUAAAUUUAUUAAUUGUCAACAUGUAUGAUUUCAAAAAAUCUGAAUCUUCAGAUAAAUACGUAAUAUUUUGUCUGUAUUAAAUAAGACUUUUGAAACAUAUUACAGCAUAUUAUUUCUAAAUUAUUAUGAAUUUAUAUUUUUAGGGGGACAACUCAAUAAUUAAGGCGAUUUUAGGGGUUUUUGACACAAACUUUAGGGAUAAAUAUUUUGGACAGUUGGUAACACUGUUUCGAAACAACAUCUCACUCCUCCAAGAACUGGGGAUCAAACAGCAUCUUUCUUCCAGCAUCUAAUGUCUUACACACACUUCUUUGGACGUAAAUGAAUGAAUGAAAUGAAAAUAUACUUUAUUGUACACCACACAGAAACAUACGAUACAGAAAAAUAAUGGAAAGAAAGAAAAAUGCACAAUAGGCGGCCUUAUCGCUAAAAAGCGAUCUCUUCCAGGCAACCUAACGAAGAAACUAAUAAUAAAAAUUAUAAAGAUAUAGGCUAGGGUGUACAGAGGUAAUAUAUAAAAGAAAAUAACGCAUAAAAAAGAAAAUAGUUAAAUACUUAUGUAACAAAAUACUAAGAAAUAUCAACAUAUAUAAUAUACAAUACGAUACAUAUACCAUAUAAUACAAAUUGUAUAUUUACAAUAUUUAUACAUACGUAUACGAGUAUAUAUAUAAAUAUAGAUAUAUAAUAAAUAUAAAUGUAUAAAUAUGUAAAAAAAAUAUAUAUAUAAACAUGUCAUAAACACAACAAACCAUGACGAUAAUUAUUAAAAAAAAAAAAAAUACAAAAUUUAAGGUGGAAAGUAAUGUUUACCAAUGAGCCCCUUGAAUAUCCGUAAAGAUUUCGCACGUCUGAUAUCAGGAGGGAGAGAGUUCCACAGCCUUACGGAUUCGACAGCAAAGGAUCUAGAGAAAAAAGAAGUACUAUGAGUGGGAAUUUUUAAGAUAAGGUUAUCGUCAGAACGGAGUGAACGACAGUGAGUAUCACUAAGAAACUCAAACCGUUCUUUCAGAUAAAAAGGAGUAUAGUGAUGGAAAAGAACAGAGUAUAAAAGAGACAGAAUAUGAGUAUUCCUGCGAAGACGAAUCGGAAGCCACUUGAGCUUAGUCCGAAAUUCAGAAAUGUGGUCAUAUUUUCGAAGUCCAAAUAUGAACCGAAUGCAGAGAUUUUGAAUACGCUCAAGUUUAUUAAAUUGCUCAAUAGUUAAAUCUAGAUAGCAAGUAUCAGCAUAAUCAAGAAUUGGUAAAAGGAGAGAUUGAGCCAACGUAAUUUUAGUAGGUAUAGGCAGGAAGUUACUGAGACGUCGCAAAGAAUGUACUGCUGCAAACAUCUUCCUGCUCACUUCGCUAACCUGAGGGACCCAGGAGAGAUAUUUAUCAAAUACAACACCUAGAUUUCGUACUGUAUCGCUAAAUGGUAGUUGAACUCCAUCAAAAACAACACAAGGAAGUGUUGUCCAGUUAAUACGGGCAAUUUGUUUGUGACUGCCUAUAAUGAUGACCUGUGUUUUAGAAGCAUUUACUUGCAGACCAUAAGAUCUACCCCACUCAACAAUUCCCUGUAAAUCUUUAUUCAUUGAAUUAAUUUUAAGGGGUAAGACAAAGAGACGAUAAGUCCAUAUCCUUAGAGAGACAUAAACUCACUACCUACGAUAUUUAAUACCUUAUCAUGUUGUAGAUUUCUGCGACAUCUUGCAUGUUGUUGUAUCCAAUGUGUUUGGAUUUGUGUUCCUGGGCUUAUGUGUGUGGUUUAGUUAAGUUUACUUAAGUUUGCUGGCUAUUAAGCAAAAAGGAAUCGAAUUUCAUUUUUAAAAGUAUGAUUAUGCCAAACGAACUCUUUCGUCAUCGCUCAUAGGAGAUUUGGAAUAUGCCCUAUAACUGCAGACUCCAAUAUUGCAAAUAGCACCUGCAAUACAGUGGAAUAACAUAUUGGUGUGCUGAAGAAAAGAUGGCAAAGGCUUUUAGCUGAUAGGAUAUUGUAAUGAUGACCCUGUUCUGUUCAAAUCAUAAAUGUGUGUGUAUUAUCAAAAUAUUUGCAUAGAUUGUGAAAUGCUGAUGAUAUUUAAUUUGGUUGGAUUUUGAUAUUUGAAAAUAAAAGAAUACUUACUUUGC